GAUGAACGCUGGCGGCGUGCUUAACACAUGCAAGUCGAACGGGAAACCUUUUAUUGAAGCUUCGGCAGAUUUCGCUGGUUUCUAGUGGCGGACGGGUGAGUAACGCGUGGGUAACCUGCCUUAUACAGGGGGAUAACAACCAGAAAUGGUUGCUAAUACCGCAUAAGCGCACAGGACCGCAUGGUCCGGUGUGAAAAACUCCGGUGGUAUAAGAUGGACCCGCGUUGGAUUAGCUAGUUGGCAGGGUAACGGCCUACCAAGGCGACGAUCCAUAGCCGGCCUGAGAGGGUGAACGGCCACAUUGGGACUGAGACACGGCCCAGACCCCUACGGGAGGCAGCAGUGGGGAAUAUUGCACAAUGGGGGAAACCCUGAUGCAGCGACGCCGCGUGAAGGAAGAAGUAUCUCGGUAUGUAAACUUCUAUCAGCAGGGAAGAUAGUGACGGUACCUGACGAAGAAGCCCCGGCUAACUACGUG
rnacentral:rRNA from 1 species